rnacentral:rRNA from 1 species
GGUCUUGACAUACCAUUGACAGGUGCAGAGAUGUACCCUUCUUCGGACAAUGGAUACAGGUGGUGCAUGGUUGUCGUCAGCUCGUGCCGUGAGGUGUUGGGUUAAGUCCCGCAACGAGCGCAACCCCUAUUGCUAGUUGCUAACAUUCAGUUGAGGACUCUAGUGAGACUGCCAGUGAUAAACUGGAGGAAGGUGGGGAUGACGUCAAAUCAUCAUGCCCUUUAUGACCUGGGCUACAAACGUACUACAAUGGCCAAUACAAAGAGAUGCGAAGUCGCGAGAUGGAGCGAACCUCAUAAAAAUGGUCUCAGUUCAGAUUGAAGUCUGCAACUCGACUUCAUGAAGGCGGAAUCGCUAGUAAUCGCGGGUCAGCAGACCGCGGUGAAUACGUUCCCGGGUUUU